rnacentral:rRNA from 1 species
CGCAAGCCUGACGGAGCAAGACCGCGUGCGGGAUGACGGCCUAAUGGUUGUAAACCGCUUUUCUCUGGGAAGAUGAUGACGGUACCAGAGGAAUCAGCCUCGGCUAACUCCGUGCCAGCAGCCGCGGUAAUACGGAGGAGGCAAGCGUUAUCCGGAAUUAUUGGGCGUAAAGCGUCCGUAGGUGGUGAAUCAAGUCUGCUGUCAAAGCGUGGGGCUUAACUCCAUAGAGGCAGUGGAAACUGGUUGACUAGAGUGCGGUAGGGGUCGAGGGAAUUCCCAGUGUAGCGGUGAAAUGCGUAGAUAUUGGGAAGAACACCAGUGGCGAAAGCGCUCGACUGGGCCUGCACUGACACUGAGGGACAAAAGCUAGGGGAGCG